AUGCACGCUGGCGGCGUGCCUAAUACAUGCAAGUCGCGCGGACAGACGAGGAGCUUGCUCCUCUGACGUUAGCGGCGGACGGGUGAGUAACACGUGGAUAACCUACCUAUAAGACUGGGAUAACUUCGGGAAACCGGAGCUAAUACCGGAUAAUAUAUUGAGCCGCAUGGUUCAAUAGUGAAAGACGGUUUUGCUGUCACUUAUAGAUGGAUCCGCGCCGCAUUAGCUAGUUGGUAAGGUAACGGCUUACCAAGGCAACGAUGCGUAGCCGACCUGAGAGGGUGAUCGGCCACACUGGAACUACGACACCGUCCAGCCUCCUACGGGAGGCAGCGUUACGGAAUUUUCCGCAAGGGGCGAAAGCUUGCCGGAGCCACGCCGCGUGAGUGAUGAAGGUCUUCGGAUCGUAAACCUCUGUUAUUAGGGAAGAACAAAUGUGUAAGUAACUAUGCACGUCUUGACGGUACCUAAUCAGAAAGCCACGGCUAACUACGUG
rnacentral:rRNA from 1 species